rnacentral:rRNA from 1 species
CCGAGUUUUCAACUCCCAAACCCUUAUGUGAACCUACCUAUCGUUGCUUCGGCGGACUCGCCCCAGCCGGACGCGGACUGGACCAGCGGCCGCCGGGGACCAUCAAACUCUUGUAUUAUCAGCAUCUUCUGAAUACGCCGCAAGGCAAAACAAAUAAAUUAAAACUUUCAACAACGGAUCUCUUGGCUCUGGCAUCGAUGAAGAACGCAGCGAAAUGCGAUAAGUAAUGUGAAUUGCAGAAUCCAGUGAAUCAUCGAAUCUUUGAACGCACAUUGCGCCCGCCAGCAUUCUGGCGGGCAUGCCUGUUCGAGCGUCAUUUCAACCCUCGACCUCCCUUUGGGGAAGUCGGCGUUGGGGACCGGCAGCACACCGCCGGCCCUGAAAUGGAGUGGCGGCCCGUCCGCGGCGACCUCUGCGUAGUAAACCAACUCGCACCGGAACCCCGACGUGGCCACGCCGUAAAACACCCAACUUCUGAACGUUGACCUCGAAUCAGGUAGGACUACCCGCUGAACUUAAGCAUAU